UUUUAUUCUAUUUCAUUAUGAAAAUGCUUGUUAUGACCCACUAAAUUUAUUUCAUGACCAGUAGUGUGAAAAAUACUGUGUCAUUAAGUGAUACAAAACCCCACUUUAUUUUGAGUCAGAAAAACACAUAAACAAUCCAAGUUAAUUGCCUGAACAUCUUCAAUUAUACAGGGAUUAAAAGUUCAAUCCUUGAAUCAUGUAGAACAUGGUUCAAAUUUUGGCGAAAUUUAUUAUUCCAUAUAACCUUUGGAAUAAUGAUACUGGGUAAUCCAGCUAUAAAUAAAAAUAAUCCUUUUAAUAAUAUGCUAAGGCCCUACAUUGUCACAAUUUCACUGUAACCCAUUGUAUUGCGUAUAAACACCAGGGGUUAAAUUUUAGCACAUAGAGAAUUACAUCAAGGGUGUCAACAUAAACUAAAUGUAGGUAUCCAAGGGAGUAAAAUAUUCAUCCUUUUAAUAUCAUUUGUGAAUCAGGAAAAAAAAAAGAAGUUACAAGGACUGAAGUUUUUAUUUCGGAGUAACAUCAAGAUUACGUCCAGCUGGUGGAAGCUUCAUGAACUUCUAAAGGUAAUCCAUUGGAUCACAGGAAGAGACAUUACUGAGAAAUGUAAAGUUUUGACCGAAGAAAGGUGAUGUGUACAUUUGCAGUUUUUUUCUCAGUCACUUCGGUUCUUCUGCUUUGGAAGCACCUGAGCCACAUCCUUAUCAUCCUUCAGCUGCCCCUUACCUGGCCCAGCAGCUUCUGGAAUGAAGUGAGUUUGUAAUCUUGGUUAGUGGUUUGUGGCUCAUGGGUUUUCCUUAACUACGUAUGGAGCACUCCUGCUGUGGAGACACAUUUUUCUUACCUUACUCCUCCAACAGAUUUUUACUGAAUAUAAAUAACUUUAAUUCAUCUUCACUUUUAUAUUGCCUUAGUUGCUGCUUCUAAAUGCAUUUCGCAUGAACUGAAGAGUUGGCUAAGUGGGUGACCUUCACAUCCUUGUACAGGAGAAAAUACAAAAUGAGACCUGGGAUUACCAUUUUAAAUGGAAGAGCUGUGGCUGGAAGAAAAAUAGCUCCUCCAGGCCCUUGAAGCAGAGCUGAUUAGUUACAAAGAGCUAGAGGCAAAGCACCUCCCUUUGCACUAUUUUGCUGAAUUUCUUGACUGGUUUUCAAGUUCUAGGCCCUUUAAGCAAAAGGAAGGCCGUUUAUGGAAAGAAGAGUGGGUGAGGAAUGGGAAAUAACCCUUGCACAGCAUCAGGAGCUUCGCAUCUGCACUCAUUCAACUGGCACAACCAAUGUCAUUUCUUCAUUCAUUAAACAGUGAUUGAGUACUAUGUGACAUGCUAACACACACACAUGUAUGAUUCAUAGAUGUAUAUAUACAU
rnacentral:lncRNA from 1 species